UCGUUUAUUUCAGAAUAUGCACCACGGCUAUCCCAAAGAAACACUGGUGCGUUUCCUUAAGGCUAGAGAGUGGAAUGUAGCAAAGGCUCAUAAAAUGAUUGUAGAAUGUUUGAAUUGGAGGAUUCAAAAUGAAAUUGAUAGUGUGCUCGAGGUGAGUCAUCCUGUCUAGAAUUUAAUCCUUCCAGAUAUUACUGUAUAUGUUAAUCAGAAAGCUAACAAAGGUUCCCUUAAAGUUCUACGAUUCUGGUCUUCUCCUAAUCAUUUCUCAUUUUGAUUGUUUAUUUUAUUAUUGCAGCAAUACCACUCUCAAUAAUCUGCCUAUUUGUGUCUGUUUGUAUAGCAAAAUUCAUUUUCUUUUUCUGAUCAAUGUUUGCACUGUCCAUCUGCAGAGGCCUAUAACCCCAGUAGAUUUAUACAGAUCAAUAUGUGAUUCACAACUUAUUGGCCUGUCAGGAUACACAAAGGAGGGUCUCCCAAUUUUUGGCAUUGGUGUUGGGCAUAGCACAUAUGACAAAGCUUCGGUAAUUACUCUGAUGCUUGCUAUUUGUUUGGUAGGCUACAACUACAGCCAAAAUCAUAAAAGUGUCUGGUUUGAAGCUAUCGGCACUAAGCCAAAUAAAG